GAAAUCCUAAGGUAGCUAAAAAUAAAAAGAAAUAUCCUAUGGUAGCUAGAUAGCUAAGCCCUAAAAACAAGCCAAAAUAAAAAACUAAUGCAAAACUAAAAUCAUGAUGGUGGUGAAGAAGCAUCAAAGUCGACCAAUUCGAAGUAACAAUCAAGCUUGUAUGCUUAUCAACGUUGACUAAUCUCUACACUAGCCAAACGAGAAUCAAAUGCAUCGAGCCAU
rnacentral:lncRNA from 1 species